AUGGUGGUGAGGACAAUCUCUGCAAAGAGCUUUGAACCUCUCAUAUGCUUUAUAUAAAUUUUCUCCACUUUUUUGCCUAAAUGACAUGAUCUCCCUUCGGAGGCU